rnacentral:rRNA from 1 species
AUUGAACGCUGGCGGCAGGCCUAACACAUGCAAGUCGAACGAGAGUCGGACGGGUGAGGAAUACAUCGGAAUCUACUCUGUCGGGGGGGGUAACGCAGGGAAACAUAGGCUCAUACCGCAUACGCUUGAAUGAGCCGAUGUCGGGUUAGCUCGUUGGCGGGGUAAAGGCCCACCAAGGCGACGAUCCGUAGCUGGUCUGAGAGGAUGAUCAGCCACACUGGAACUGAGACACGGUCCAGACUCCUACGGGAGGCAGCAGUGGGGAAUAUUGGACAAUGGGCGCAAGCCUGAUGCAGCCAUACCGCGUGGGUGAAGAAGGCCUUCGGGUUGUAAAGCCCUUUUGUCGGGAAAGCGGUACCCAAAGAAUAAGCACCGGCUAACUUCGUGCCAGCCGCCGCGGUAAUAC